rnacentral:misc_RNA from 1 species
AAUUCUCAACCUCCUCGGUUUCUUUUGGACGCCAAAGAAGGCUUGGACUUUGGAGGGCUUUGCUGGACUUGAAAGGCCAGCUCCUCUCAAAUGAAUUAGCGAGGUUCCCUUUGCCGAUCCUCGACGUGUGAUAAGAUGCUUCCACGUCUCGGUCAUUGGCUCUGUUGCCUUUCGGGACCUGCUUCCAAUCAUCUCUUGACGAGACAAUGUUUGAGCUCGUCUCGACCACGUAC